rnacentral:rRNA from 1 species
GACGAACGCUGGCGGCGUGCUUAACACAUGCAAGUCGAACGGAAAGGCCUGCAGCUUGCUGCGGGUACUCGAGUGGCGAACGGGUGAGUAACACGUGGGUGAUCUGCCUUGCACUUCGGGAUAAGCUUGGGAAACUGGGUCUAAUACCGGAUAGGACAGCUGUUUAGUGUCAGUUGUGGAAAGUUUUUUCGGUGCAAGAUGAGCUCGCGGCCUAUCAGCUUGUUGGUGGGGUAAUGGCCUACCAAGGCGUCGACGGGUAGCCGGCCUGAGAGGGUGUACGGCCACAUUGGGACUGAGAUACGGCCCAGACUCCUACGGGAGGCAGCAGUGGGGAAUAUUGCACAAUGGGCGGAAGCCUGAUGCAGCGACGCCGCGUGGGGGAUGAAGGCCUUCGGGUUGUAAACUCCUUUCGACAGGGACGAAGCGUAAGUGACGGUACCUGUAUAAGAAGCACCGGCUAACUACGUGCCAGCAGCCGCGGUAAUACGUAGGGUGCGAGCGUUGUCCGGAAUUACUGGGCGUAAAGAGCUCGUAGGUGGUUUGUCGCGUCGUCUGUGAAAUUCCGGGGCUUAACUCCGGGCGUGCAGGCGAUACGGGCUGACUUGAGUGCUGUAGGGGAGACUGGAAUUCCUGGUGUAGCGGUGAAAUGCGCAGAUAUCAGGAGGAACACCGAUGGCGAAGGCAGGUCUCUGGGCAGUAACUGACGCUGAGGAGCGAAAGCAUGGGUAGCGAACAGGAUUAGAUACCCUGGUAGUCCACGCCGUAAACGGUGGGCGCUAGGUGUAGGGGGCUUCCACGUCUUCUGUGCCGUAGCUAACGCAUUAAGCGCCCCGCCUGGGGAGUACGGCCGCAAGGCUA